UGCGGUUUCAACGUGGCCGAAAGCGAAUGCAAACCAAACGGGCAAAAACCAACGAACACGUUAACGCAGUAAAAAGUGAAAAGCCGUUACGGGUGGCAUUUGAAAAAAAGCAAAGAAAAACAAAUGUUGCAAGGCCGUACUUCAAUCCAUAUAAAAUGUACAAAUAAAUAAUCAUAUCAAAGGAGGAAACGCAGCAGCAGUAGGA